UAUAAGCAAUUAUACCGCGAAACUGCGAAUGGCUCAUUAUAUAAGUUAUCGUUUAUUUGAUAGUACCUUACUACUUGGAUAACCGUGGUAAUUCUAGAGCUAAUACAUGCUAAAAAUCCCGACUUCGGAAGGGAUGUAUUUAUUAGAUUAAAAACCAAUGCCCUUCGGGGCUCACUGGUGAUUCAUGAUAACUCCUCGAAUCGCAUGGCCUUGUGCCGGCGAUGGUUCAUUCAAAUUUCUUCCCUAUCAACUUUCGAUGUUUGGGUAUUGGCCAAACAUGGUUGCAACGGGUAACGGAGGGUUAGGGCUCGACCCCGGAGAAGGAGCCUGAGAAACGGCUACUACAUCCAAGGAAGGCAGCAGGCGCGCAAAUUACCCAAUCCCGACACGGGGAGGUAGUGACAAUAAAUACUGAUACAGGGCUCUUUUGGGUCUUGUAAUUGGAAUGAGUACAAUUUAAAUCCCUUAACGAGGAACAAUUGGAGGGCAAGUCUGGUGCCAGCAGCCGCGGUAAUUCCAGCUCCAAUAGCGUAUAUUAAAGUUGUUGUGGUUAAAAAGCUCGUAGUUGAACCUUGGGCCUGGCUGGCCGGUCCGCCUCACCGCGUGUACUGGUCCGGCCGGGCCUUUCCCUCUGUGGAACCCCAUGCCCUUCACUGGGUGUGGCGGGGAAACAGGACUUUUACUGUGAAAAAAUUAGAGUGCUCCAGGCAGGCCUAUGCUCGAAUACAUUAGCAUGGAAUAAUAGAAUAGGACGUGUGGUUCUAUUU
rnacentral:rRNA from 1 species